GUGCCUUAAACUAAUGAGUAAGGAAAAUAACGAGCCGGAUUGACGCCCGGCUCCACCGUACUCGCAAUACGGUCGGAAUUUUUGCAGGGGCACAGGUCGUCCCAGGGGCGCCCCGCCUACUUUUGCGGGGUGCUCGGGUUGUUGCGAUCUGCCCCAGACAUGAAAUGAAAAUCAAGAUUGACUUGGAUGGAUAUGUCGCUGCGGGUUGGUUGAGUCACCGUCGAAGUGAUCUUCCCGUACUGCUGAUGAGUAAUGAAUCACCUGUGAACCUCGUCAACGUAGGUGAAGGCUUACUCCACAGGCUAGUCACUAAUUGUAUUUGUUUGCAAUCUGUUCACACUAUGGUUGAACAUCACUUGAUUUUACCUUCUGUCACAGACGCACGUGCGUAAUACUGGGUGUUUCAAUAAAUAUGCCCAGAAUCCUCAAAAAACAAGAAAAUGGUAUAUUUGUUCGACGCCUUCACAAUUGUUUGUUACGUAACUGCAGGCUUCCUAAUAUAGCUAAGGACAUAAUCUGAGAUAGCAAUUAGAGAAGUUAUAGUAAUUAACUUCUUAGUGAAGUUAGAUGGCUGUGUUAAAUGGAACAAUUGAAGUUGUUCAUGUAAUAACUGCCACGUAAUAAAAACUCAACCACCAAAACGGUGAAACUGAAGGCCUAAGAGCGCAACUGCCAUAUUCAUCUGAGGCCUCCAGAAUGAGGCACCUGAUACUACAGAAAGAGAAAUUAUGAAGACAGCAAGCAAAUAACACAUCUUCCAGAUUUUUUUUUUUCAAUUUAGGACACAUUUUCUAAAACACCCUGUACAGUAACUCUCAGUAAAUAGGAAUCUGCUUUAAACUGAACUGCUGCCUAAAUGGAACAACUGUGUUUGAUAUGAUUGGUUUUGUACUUUUAUUGUGCACCCUCACGGGACAUAAUUUCCCAGUCCCUUCAGGCUCUACCUAAUGAGCGUUUACUCUAUAUCGAGAGAGACAUACUGUAUCACUUUUUACAACUGCUCUGUAUUUCAUAAUUCUUGUUUCCUAUCGCUUAUUCGUCGGGGCCUAUUUCCAAAGUAGCCUAGUACUGUACUUUGGUACCCUCAUCUUUACACCAAUGUUUGAAUAAACUCAAUGCUGAACUUCAGUGGU